rnacentral:snRNA from 1 species
GUGCUUGCUUUGGCAGCACAUAUACUAAAACUGGAACAAAACAGAGAAGAUUAACAUGGGUCCUGAGCAAGGAUGACAUGCAAUCCCUGCAAAGUUCUGUAUUUUA